rnacentral:rRNA from 1 species
UACCAGCACCCCGAGUGGUCGGGACGAUUAUUGGGCGUAAAGAGCUCGUAGGCGGUUUGUCGCGUCUGCUGUGAAAACCUAAGGCUCAACCUUGGGCUUGCAGUGGGUACGGGCAGACUAGAGUGCGGUAGGGGUGACUGGAAUUCCUGGUGUAGCGGUGGAAUGCGCAGAUAUCAGGAGGAACACCGAUGGCGAAGGCAGGUCACUGGGCCGCAACUGACGCUGAGGAGCGAAAGCAUGGGGAGCGAACAGG